ACAACUUUUAGCAACGGAUGUCUUGGCUCUCCCAUCGAUGAAGAACGCAGCGAAAUGCGAUAAGUAAUGUGAAUUGCAGAAUUCAGUGAAUCAUCGAAUCUUUGAACGCACCUUGCGCCCUCUGGUAUUCCGGAGGGCAUGCCUGUUUGAGUGUCAUUAA
rnacentral:rRNA from 1 species